GUGCACACAAGACGCCAUUUUGGAUUAUCUACAUGAGAUUUGAACUGCGUGCCUCUGUUUGAAACUCCAAGGUACUUACAAGAAAGGAUAAUUGGAUAAUUUGGAUAUUUUCAACGAGGAUCCGACCGUGUGAAUGUCUUGAGAAGAGAAAGGGGGUAACUUUAGCCUAAUUUAGCAAGCUAACGAUAGCUGGAGGACUCAUUUUCCCAUCACACACAGAUGUCUGCCACCACUGCUAAUCUUGGAAAGAUGGGUAACCUGCCUAUGACUCCUCAUUUGAUUCUGCCUGGUUCAGAUGAUACUUUGGGCCAGUGGAUAAAGCAAUGGAUGGUCAGCAUGGAAGGCAGAGUAAUCUGUGAGGGUGAGCAUGCACACUGGAAUUCCUUCAAAGAUGCUUUGCUGGCAUAAAUCCAGAGAGGGGAACCAAGGCUGUGAGAGGAAAUGUGACGUCAAAAAAAACUGGCAACACAGUUCAGAAGAAGACCACGACUGUAAACCCCAAGGUUUCAAACCUUUUGAAGAAACUAAUGGACUUUGAAUGGGACAUUAUUUAAAAUGCAGCUAGCUUGCACCCCCCUACUUUUGCAACACAGAGGCCUUUUUUUCUUUAUUUGCUGAAGCUCAUUUUGGGCCUAUAUAUUUUUAUAUUUUAUAUCCAAGACUAAAUUGUAAAGUGGCUAUUUAUUAAUUUAUUCUAUGACAUUCGGUAAGUUGCUUCUUGUUGUAAAAUGCUGAAUAUGAUCUUAACAUUUCUGGAGAACUUACAAUUUUUGCCUGUUCUUUGGCUUAAUAUUUUCACAAACACAAUGCAGAUUUUAUUUUGUGUUGUUUGAAAAUAAAAAUGUGAAAU
ensembl:processed_transcript